rnacentral:rRNA from 1 species
UCUGGUGAUUCGAGCGCGGUUGCCCCACUCCUUCCCAUUCCGAACAGGAUAGUGAAAGACCGCAGCGGCGAUGAUACUCCUUAUGGGGGAAAGUAGCCCAUUGCCAGGC